rnacentral:tRNA from 1 species
GGAUUGUGGCUCAGUGGCACAACACUUGCUUUGCACGUGCGAGGCCCUGGGUUCGAGUCUCAGCACCA